GAUCGUACGUGUAGAUCUGGUGCCAUAGAUUUGCACGUCGCGGUGGUUAAUCUGCAUUUACACUGUAUGAUUUGGAUUCUACGGUGGUUCUGAGUUGUGUCGUCGAUGGCGGUGAUGAUUUUUCAUGGAAAGUGAUGCAGUUUCAGAUGAUUCACUACAUGGUAAUACUUGCAUACAACCUUGGAGGAAUAAUAUUUCGAAGAGAGCUAAAUCUAUUAACAGUGAUAUGGUUUCACAUGAUAUAAUGGAUUAUGAUUCUGAUUUUCCAUAGAAGGAAGAGCUUAGUCACACACAAUAUGAUAUAUCAAAGGAUUCGUUAGGUGUCGGUUCUCUUCAGCGGCAUAGGAAGACUUCUAAAAGCAAGUAUGACCGAUACACAUGUUUAGUUUAAUUGAUUAUUACAUGCCUUUACAAAUUAGCAUCUGGUUUUAGUAACUUUUUUUGGGAGAACUGAUAGCACCUGGAUGGACGCAUGUUUCUCAAUGAUUUCAUCUAUUUUCCUCAUCACAGUCUUGCUUACCCGUGCUCGAAUACAGGUUUGGAUAACUAUUUUGUUGAAUAAAAAGUUGUUUAAUUUUACAUCUUUCAAUAUUCUAUUUUUUAUUUUGUUAAGUAUUUUUCACUCUCUGAAGAUCCAAUAUACCAAAUAGAACUUAAUAUUGAAAGCAGUGUUUGAAUCUUGAUGGAAAAAGUCAUGUGACUAUCUAAACAUUCUUACUUGAGUUUUUGCAUUGUCCUAAUAACCUAUCUUAUGCUUCUGGUAGAUAUUUGCAAAUCCAAUGUAUGAAUAUUUGGAUACCAAACAUGGAAUCAAAGGUAAUGCUAUGGCUUUUAAGAAUUUGUCAUUUGGAGUUUUAAUUAGAGGUGGAUGCAUGGCUUUAAACUCAUCUGUAUCAGCUCUUUUGCCAUUGCUUUGACAUAUGCUAUUACAAAUUAAUUUUAAUGGUAGAUUUCAUAAAUUGUAAAGAAUAGACAUUUUGCCUUUAAAUUUCAGUAGAUACAAUGCUUCCUUUAGUAGUAUAGAGGACUUUGAGGAGCACCGAUUAGCGGUAUUAUCAAACCCAGUCAUGAAUUUCCAUGUUUACUUUUUUCUAAAAGAACAAUUUUGCUUUUACUAAUAAAUGAUUGAUAAGUACAAAUAGACUUGCUGGAAUGUAAGUUAUUCAUAUUUCUUGCAAUAAGAUUAAAUUGUCAUGCCUUUUCCAAUUGAAGAUGUGUAUCUUCUUCAUAAAUGUUUGUAGUCUACCGUAAUCGUAGUUUAUUUUUAUAUUUUCGCAUCAUCGCAGUUUAAACGUGUGUUUCAUUUUUUUGGUAUAGGCAAGUGAUGGGUUUGCACCAGGUUAUAACUCUCUGUAUGGAGCAUUGUCAUUCUGCAUAAUUAUCGGAUGAAAGUGAUAGGUACAAAACUUUUGUUUUAUCGGGAGGAACUGAAUGUUAGUCAGGUUUAGCAGGUAAACUUUCAAAUAAUUUUUUCAUAUAAGAAAUUAUUACACUCUCACUAUUAUUGUACCAGUAGAGAAACCUAAAUGAAUCAAUCCAAACACGCCCUUACAUGUAAACUCCCAUAGGCUAUAAGCUAUUCAAACUUGGCCUAAUUCUACUAUUUUCGGGACCAUUGUUAUGCAUAAAAAGAUUAGAGAAAGAACUGCAUAGCUUACUUCCUCCAUACGUGUCAAAUGGAAUUAGAGUCACACCUCCUCCAUACGGCGUCGAUACUACAUAGUUCAAAGCAAAUAUGAUUGGCAAUAAUGAAAGUAAUUGGUGAUAUUUUCAUGUGACGAGGAAUAGAUUCGUCAUACCACUUACCGGAAAAUGUUGCAAUAAUAACCCUCGAGGCUCUUGGUAACAGAGAAGUUCUUCUUUGACUGAUGCACUUAUUUGAUGUAUAUUCUCUUUAGCUUUCACCGCAUCCUACGCCUUCUUAUGCAAAUGAGCCUGUAUUGUCAAGUCAUAGUGAAAUAAGGCCAGAAAUCACAACCUGCUCAUGCUAAAAUAACCUGCCCGUGCUGAAAUAAGGCCAGAAAUCAAGAAUGUUUUAGAAGCUGAAAGUAAAGCUGGUGAAGAGCAAGCCGAUGAGCAUGCAGAUAAUGGGAACUCAGAUUCACAGCAAAACAUGUUUUUCUUGGAUGCUGGUCAUUUUCCUAAAUUGCUAGGCAUGUUAUACAUAGAAACAGCAUUUUCAGAAAUUGUUAUGCAUGAUAGUUCUCAUUUUUUUGUUUCAUAAAUUGUUAUGCAUGAUAGUUCUCAUUUUUUUGUUCGAUGAAGAAUUAAAUGCAGGAAUUGUUUGGUUCAUAUUCAUUGUCUGGGUUUGGGUAGUUACAAUACUAUUUAGGUGUUUACAGGGUGGAGAUAAUUCUUUGAAAUGUAUUCAAAAGAUAUAGCGUU